ACGGUUUUGUGGAUGAUUGCUCUUGUUUAAUGAUCUUUUGAUUAUUUGAUUGACCUUUUGGUUUAUCAGCAAGGGAGGAAAGUCCGGACUUCAUAGAGCAGUGCAAGGGGUAACGCCCCUCCGUCGUAAGGCGAGGAACAGUGGAACAGAGAGAAUGUCCAGGGCUUUGAGCCUGAAAACGGGAACGGGAGUUUUCAGGGGAGCUGCUGGAGUGAAAACAGCUAAACUCUGCACGAAGCAAGAUCAAAUAGGAAAGCGCAAGUAACUCGGCUCGGGUGAGGCUUUCGGGUAGGAUCGCUUGAGGGAUUUGGUAACAAAUCUCCCAGAUAAAUAGUCAUCUAAAAUAACAGAGACACUUUCGGGACUUUGUUAUUGGGACAGAAUCCGGCUUAUAGCAAAACCACUUCC
rnacentral:RNase_P_RNA from 1 species